rnacentral:misc_RNA from 1 species
UCUCCGUUGGUGAACCAGCGGAGGGAUCAUUGCUGGAACAAACACUCGCAAGAGUGCUACCCAGACACCCACUGUGAAUUGUACCUCUUGUUGCCUCGGCAUGAACUGGUUUCGAAAGGAAUCCCUUCUGAUAGAAGGAGCAAGUUGGCCGGUGGCCCUAUAAACUCAUGUUUUUAUUGUAUCUUCUGAGUCUAACAAAAUAAAUGAAUCAAAACUUUUAACAACGGAUCUCUUGGUUCUGGCAUCGAUGAAGAACGCAGC